GAACCCUUGGCACAGUGGUAGCGCGUGAGAUUCCAGAUGGUGAAGUCAUUCACCCAAGGGAAAUCCUCAAGGUCGUCCGUUCGAUCCGGGCAGGGUUCA
rnacentral:tRNA from 1 species